UGGGGAAUAUUGCACAAUGGGCGAAAGCCUGAUGCAGCAACGCCGCGUGAAGGAUGAAGGCCUUUGGGUCGUAAACUUCUGUCCUUGGGGAAGAACAAAAUGACGGUACCCUUGGAGGAAGCCCCGGCUAACUACGUGCCAGCAGCCGCGGUAAUACGUAGGGGGCGAGCGUUAUCCGGAAUUAUUGGGCGUAAAGAGUGCGUAGGUGGUCUUGUAAGCGGGGGGUGAAAGGCAUCGGCUUAACCGAUGUUAGCCCCCCGAACUGUGAGACUUGAGUACAGGAGAGGAAAGCGGAAUUCCUAGUGUAGCGGUGAAAUGCGUAGAUAUUAGGAGGAACACCAGUGGCGAAGGCGGCUUUCUGGACUGAAACUGACACUGAGGCACAAAAGCGUGGGGAGCAAACA
rnacentral:rRNA from 1 species